AACGAACGCUGGCGGCAUGCCUAACACAUGCAAGUCGAACGAGACCUUCGGGUCUAGUGGCGCACGGGUGCGUAACGCGUGGGAACCUGCCCUUAGGUUCGGAAUAACUCCCCGAAAGGGGUGCUAAUACCGGAUAAUGUCUUCGGACCAAAGAUUUAUCGCCUUUGGAUGGGCCCGCGUUGGAUUAGCUAGUUGGUAGGGUAAAAGCCUACCGAGGCGACGAUCCAUAGCUGGUCUGGGAGGAUGAUCAGCCACACUGGGACUGAGACACGGCCCAGACUACUACGGGAGGGAGGAGUGGGGAAUAUUGGACGAUGGGCGAAAGCCUGAUCCAGCCAUGACGCGUGAGUGAUGAAGGCCUUAGGGUUGUAAAGCUCUUUGACACGGGAUGAUAAUGACGGUACCGGGAGAAUAAGCUCCGGCUAACUCCGUG
rnacentral:rRNA from 1 species